GGCUGGUCCGAAGGUAGUGAGUUAUCUCACUGGAUUGUUCAGUUACAUAUUGAACUCGCUACUUUCCCCCCUUCUCACUACUGCACUUGACUGGUCUAAA
rnacentral:Y_RNA from 1 species